UGAGGGAAUAUUGGGUCAAUGGGCGCAAGCCUGAACCAGCCAAGUAGCGUGCAGGACGAUGGCCCUCCGGGUUGUAAACUGCUUUUAGUUGGGAAUAAAGUGCGGGACGUGUCCCGUUUUGUAUGUACCAUCAGAAAAAGGACCGGCUAAUUCCGUGCCAGCAGCCGCGGUAAUACGGAAGGUCCGGGCGUUAUCCGGAUUUAUUGGGUUUAAAGGGAGCGCAGGCGGACCCUUAAGUCAGUUGUGAAAUGUAGGUGCUCAACAUCUGCACUGCAGCGCGAACUGGUUUCCUUGAGUACGCACAAAGUGGGCGGAAUUCGUGGUGUAGCGGUGAAAUGCUUAGAUAUCACGAAGAACUCCGAUUGCGAAGGCAGCUCACUGGAGCGCAACUGACGCUGAAGCUCGAAAGUGCGGGUAUCGAACAGGAUUAGAUACCCUGGUA
rnacentral:rRNA from 1 species